UAAAGAUGGGCAAGCAAUGGUUCAA
rnacentral:piRNA from 1 species